UGAGAAGAGAAGCCGCAUGGGAUCACCUUCGUACCCAAAGGUGGGCUGCACCCCGAUGAAGACAUUGCCGUACUGCUUCCCGUAGACGAGGAGGUUCUCGCCAUCAGAGUUGAGGUGCCCAGGUGGCUUCCCCCAGUUCUCCUCCAGCAAGGAGGCGUAGGAGGUCAGCGACUGGUACUCCCUCACAUUCAUGCGGUAAGCAACAUUCAGGUUGGGGCUGUUGAACUGAGCUUCCUUGUCAUGGAUCACCUCCUCGAUGAGGGCUUCAGGUGUGUCCGGAAGACCCUCCACGUUGUAGCCGUCCUUCUUGAGGUCUGAGAGCACAGAGUAAAUGGAGCUGAACACGUUCAGAUAUGCUGCAGUCCCGACGUUGCCCUUGUCAGGUGGG
rnacentral:lncRNA from 1 species